CACGUAGUUAGCCGUGGCUUGCUCGUCGGGUACCGUCUUAAAAAGGGCAUUUCCUCCCUUUCCUUUCGUCCCCAACAACAGAGCUUUACGAUCCGAAGACCUUCUUCACUCACGCGGCGUUGCUCCGUCAGGCUUUCGCCCAUUGCGGAAGAUUCCCCACUGCUGCCUCCCGUAGGAGUAUGGGCCGUGUCUCAGUCCCAUUGUGGCCGUUCAUCCUCUCAGACCGGCUACUGAUCGUCGCUUUGGUGAGCCGUUACCUCACCAACUGGCUAAUCAGACGCAGGCCCUUCCUUCGGCGAUGGCUUGCACCAUCUUUCCUCUUUCUUCCAUGCGGAAGUUAGAGUGCAUUCGGUAUUAGCGGUCCUUUCGGGCCGUUGUCCCCAUCCUAAGGGCAGGUUGCCUACGCGUUACUCACCCGUUUGCCACUAGAUCCUUUACCGAAAUAAAGUUUCCCGUUCGACUUGCAUGUGUUAAGCACGCCGCCAGCGUGUCCGUCGUAGCCACGGAGUCAACUAC
rnacentral:rRNA from 1 species